rnacentral:ncRNA from 1 species
UCCCCGAUUGAUUCUGUCGGCGGUUAUAUGCUUGUCUCAAAGGCUAAGCCAUGCAUGUCUAAGUUCAAAUAAACCUAUAAUGGUGAAACCGCGAACGGCUCAUUAUAACAGCUAUAAUGUACUUGAUGUUGAUUAUCCAACGUGGAUAACUGUGGCAAUUCUAGAGCUAAUACAUGCACCAAAGCUCCGAAUUUUAAACGAGCGCAUCUAUUAGAUUAAAACCAAUCGGAUUAUUAAUUUUAAUCCGUUAAUUGGUGACUCUGAAUAGCUAUGGCUGAUCGCAUGGU